rnacentral:lncRNA from 1 species
CUGAAGUAAAGCGUGCAACACACUCCGGACAAAAUCUGCACGGUAGCUUUGCGGUAUAAAAUGAGCUACGGAACUGUCCGAGGUUCAAUGGGGUCUCUUCAGAUUUUAACCAGAGCCCGUUAAGCGGGGCCGGUCCCAAUAACUUUAGACACGUUUGCACAGUUGGACCUGUGGGAAGGAAGCGGAGCAGCACCGCGGAAGGGCUGGAACUGCUCUCAGAUUCCAUCUAAUUGGAAAGCAACGUGAGCCCCAACUCUGGGUUCUCAUUGGCAUGGAGACGCUUGCGUACAAUCACGGUAUGCAAAGCAGCAGAAGUCUGAAUUCAUAAUUGGACGUUCCAAAAUGUAAUUAUGAAAGAUGAAAUGCUCCUUUCAAUGAGAAGGCCGUAAAUAGAAUAAUUAAUUUUGUGUUUGCUUGAACAAUUCUGUAUUAUGGACCUUACACUGGAACUGAAAUUAAUUAAGUGCACCAGGAUUUAUGGAGGAGGUGAAGAGAGAGGGAAAAAAAAGAAUUAAUCUGAAGUAAAAGAUAGAUGACUUUGUGAGUGUAAUGAUGCGUUAGUCUGGGGUAUUCUUUAACAAAUUUAGCAGGCAUGUUCUGGGUACAAACAGCACUCACUGACAGAAUUAUCUCAACUAAUGCAGCUGCUGGACUCUGAGCAAAUUGAGAUUGCAGAUGAGUACUCCAGAUUUAGAGCUGUUAACCCUCCCUGUGCUGGGAACUGUGCUUCGGUUCACUCCGUGCAUUUGUCUGUCCUGAAUGAAUGAAGGAUUUCAGAUUUACCAGCCUGGCAGGGACCCCCACAGCACCGGGCUGCGAGCGCUUCCAGCAUCCAGAGCAGUCACUCGGAGACACCUCCACUCCCAUAAACGUGAUGUCUCACCGUAUCAUUUGGAAUAAAGGGAUGGCUCCGGCUAUAGAUCGGUGGCUGAUCGAUGGGCUCAGCAGCAGCGCUGAGGAUGUGGGGAUGCAGGGUGGCUCAGUGUGUCGUGUCUCUGCAGUGUCAGCUUUCCAGAGGCUGGGAUGCACCAAGCAGCUGUAACCCCUGGGAAUUUUUGGAGAUUCUGGGAAAUGACUGGUGAGGAAGCGCUGGUGCAGCUCCGAAAUGGACAGAUAGCCCCCAGGGGCUGAAGAGAGCAUCCCUUAUCUUUGAUUUAUUGAUGGGCUGUCUUUGCUGGGAAAUGAACUUUCCUCAGGUCUGAAUUUGUCCCGUUGUGGGAUUGCAGUGGGACAGCGGGACAGGACCCUCCCUCCCUCCCUCCCAUCAGCAUCUGCACAAAUGCUACCUGUGAUGAUCCACGCUCAUUAUGGCAAACUUCACCCAGGUCCUUGCAGAAAGCCCAGUGGGAAGCUCUGCUUGGUGAAGUCACCAGGAUGUGGAAGAUGAGAAGCUCAUAGGUUGGUAACCACCAUCGAACCAGGCAGGCUAACACCACACAGCAGGUUGGAACCUGAGACCCGUCCCUGUCCUUAUCAGGUGCUCAGCAUCACCUCCUGGCCCGAGGAGGCUCCACAGCAACGGGGUAACUUUGUCCCAAAAACAGAAGCACAGCAGCAAGAGCUUCUUUCCCCACAGAGCCACUUCUGAGAGCCACCAGCUGCCUGGGUGACGGCUACCCAACAGCAUACGUACAGCCCUGGGUAGCAGAAUGCAUUUGGGUGCUCUGCCUGUUUCCUUCCCGCUAUUUAUUCUUGUUUUCCACAGUAAAAUGCUAAAUAUGAACUAUAGAUACUCUGCUUUAAAUUGCAACAAGAGCUGCAUUUUCCACUUGCUUGGUUAUAGCUCUUUAAGUGAUACAUUAUAUUGUUUGCCAGAAUACUUCUACAAAGUCUUUGCUUCAUUUAACUUGUAGAACAAUUCAGCCAGAUUGGUCCAUAAAAGGUGUACUUAAAAUCAGGAUUACCCUGGGACUCAAAAGUGCUGGGUGCUAAAAUGCAGCCUCUCAUUUCCCAUGGCCUUCUGAGCAUUCGAACAUAUUUAUACCUUCUGCAUUGCAGCAAACUUAAUCAGAAGGACAGGCUUGCUAACAUCUGUGCAUUCCAUUCACUUCUGGAGUCGUCUCAAUCUCUUCUGAAACCUGAUUCUGGCUGUCAUAACCCAUAGCUCUCCAUGCUGGGCAUUAUUCGGACAUUUAGACAUCUGUCAUCAGGAAGUGUGAUAGAUGGUUUUAUUAACCCGCAAAGGCAAAGGCUGUGACAGUGAAGGACUCUGAUGCGGGGAGAAAGUGUUUUGCAAACCUUACAAGUGUGCCUGAUGCUUUUCCCAGCCUAUGGCUGCAGUGGGGACCGGGCAUUGGAAGUGAAAGCUGUGUUACGCAUUAUCUGGAGCUGGAUAAAUCCAGCAGUGUAGGUGUUAUGUUAUCCCCAACAGCAGCAGAAGAGACCUUUCUGAACCACUCUCCAGCAGCACGAACUGCUCCAGGUGGGAGUUUUUGCAGCAAACUGCAGCCCCAAAGGAAGGCUGUGCUUCCCAGGGGCGUGUGAGGAAAAUGGGGUUUUGUUUUAGUAAAAUUCAUCACAAAGAUUUCAUUUAUAUUGUUUAGGAAGUGUAUACAAAUUCACCAAUUGGUCCCUACAGCAGUUAUUUUUUUUAGUCCUGUCCACGUGCCUUCUCCUUUUGAUUUCCCACUGAGUGGUCACCCGUGGGCAGGGCUCUACUCACAGAUACCUGUGGCAAAAUGGGAGCCAAAGUGGAAUUUGGGGAUGCUGAGUGAGGGGGUUCCACUCCCACCCACAGGCAGCUUUAGCCCAGUCAGGGACAGUACUUGCUGCCUCACAGCUUUCCAAAGUCAAACGCAGCCUAUCCUUGCUGGUUUUCCAUCCCCUGUGAUUCCCAGGUUCCUGUACUGAAGCCCUCAGAGAAAUAAGAGCAGCUGGAGACACAGGAGCAUCCCACUGCUUUUUCCUUCCCAAAGUGCCUGCAGCCACCAGCAGUUCCUGGCUGGGAAAGGCCUCCCUCCUGCAGGCACAGCCUGGGAGAUCUGCAGGACGCUGGAAUGACAUCCUCUGUGCAUCUAAGGCAGAGAGACCUGAGCAACCUGAAAAUCCCAGCAGCGUGCUGUGUUAUUUCUCAUAAAUGAGAGGAGAAGGGCGCUUGCAUUUGGAAAAAAGCAGUAUUUGGACAAAUACAGAGCUACAGGGCUGGUGUGUGAGGUCCACGUAGCUCCAAUUUCCCCUCUCCUUGCUGUGAUCAGACUGCUGGGAAUGAGCCCCUACAACCACAGCGGUGUGCAGCUGUCACAUACGUGUGUGUGUAUGUGUGCAUAUCAUGCACAGCACCGGUACAGAGAAAGGUGAGGUGCUGGUGAGCUUUAUCUCCCUAAGAAAGAUAGUUAGAAUAAAAUCAAUUGCUUCUUUUUUUUUUUUCCUUAAUUAAUGUGUGCACUCAGUGUCUGGCUUUGCCAUUUGGGAAGAGCUGAAUGCAGAGCUUUAGAUGUGUAGGUUUGGGCUCGUUAUAUAAGGAACAUUUCAGGGGAGCCCGUGUUGUUGGUGUGGAUAACUCCCAUGGCAAUGGUGCAGACUGUGAGAGGUGGGCAUGCAGUGCUUGCUUUGAAGCCCUGAUCUCUGGAAGUAAAUGACUGCCCAUAAACCUCAGCUUUCAUUAUGAAAUUGGAGAGAGGGAGAGUGGUAACAUUUCUGUGUGCAAGGAAUUUCAGGACGUGAUUUAAACAGAAAUAACCAGCAAAGCAGGCGGGAUCAAAGAGUUUGCAUGCAGCAAAGGGAAAAGCAAACUCAGAACCGUCUUACGCUGAUUUUUGUGCACUCGGUUUGGCAGUGAUGCCACGUGCAGCGUGCAGAGUAACGUGGUUUGUCUCAUGCAGAAAUGCAAAGGCUUAUUUUUGGAAACAUCCUCUCAAUAGAAGCGAAAAAAAAAAAAAGAAGGCAAAUCUCUCUGGUCGCCGUAACAGCAUAAUUCAAACUAAUAACAGAACGCAGCUUUGCAGUUUUAGAUUAUCAGAAGGAAAGAGAAAACCUCCCCAGCUCCCCUGACGCUGAUUCAUCAAAUAAAUUAACUCCGUUCAUCAGUUAACUCUCACUGGUCAAAUAGGGUUAAAAUUCUUGGAUCUAAUUCACAUUGCUAAUUUCACAGAGGGGAGAAAAAGCACAGAGGGAUAGCCAGAGCCAAGUACGUUAUCCUGCUGUAACUGACUGAAGCUCGGCGGCUGGCGUUUUAUUCUUGCAAUAUUUCUUUUAAUAAAAAAAAGUGCCUGAUUAAGACACCCUUUUAGAAAACAUUAAUUCAGGGUCUAAAAAAAAAAAAAAAAAAUCAGAUGAACUCAAAUAGAUUUUCUCUGGUACGUUAGCAUUGCAUUUAGGAUAAUGGAUAGGGAGAAGGAUGGAUUCUGUAGGUAUAAAUCAAUAGGCAAGGGGGUUGAUGAAAUUGCAACCUGUGAGAGCGAAGCCCCAGCGGUUUGUGAUAUCAGGAGCCCAAGAUUAAUUUGUUUGACAGCCCAGCCUCCUGCAUUCAUUAUUUUAACAGCACGCACGCAGGACCAGGAUGCACGUGUUAACCCAUCAGCUAACCGACGUUUGCCCACAGCCUCUCCAAGCUCCUGGCUUGGAGUGAGUUGAAAUGAGCCAGCCAGGUGCUGGAAACCACACAUCGUCAUACAUACUCUUCAUUUUCCAUGCAGAUAUCUCAUUGCUUGUUUUUCUUGCAAGCACACGAGGACGUCCUGCUCACCCCAUGCUUAUCUAAAGGGCUCCGAAGCCUGUGGAAGCACCAUGGGUUUUAAUAGCUGUUGGAUCAGACCUUUGUCCUCAGGUAUAGCCCCAUUCACUUCAUACAGCCUGUUUAUGUGAAUGAGCUGAGACUGAUCUGGCCCAAAGUCAGCGACUUUCCCAGCCCUGGGAAAAGGCAGUGAUCCCUGCCAUGUUCUGCUGUAUGGUCUGCUCUGUCCAGCUGGAGCUAAGUGCACCUCAUUACUCAGGGAAAUUUGGAUCUGGACAAUUCUUCACUGAUAAACAACAUAUUGCCAUAAUUAGCGAGCAUGGACUGGGAAUCCUGGAAAUGGAGCCUGUCCAAUCUGUCAAUUUAGGACCAUAUUGUUUAAUUUACACAGUGCAGCGCAUUGUGCAACCUGAGAAGGCUCACCCGGCCUGCCCGGAGCAGGGCUCUCUGCUGUGUUCAAUUUAUAGAAACAGCUCUUAGUUUCAGACUCUAAUUUUGACACUGUUCUUUUUUCCUCUUGGCCUCUGAGUCCUGGUUGAAAGCGAACAUGCAUGGCUGAAAGAGGCCAUGCACAGUUCCUGUGCAAGCACAGCCAAAUUAUAUCUCACAGCUAAGCCCUGAGGUUCCCCAUUUUCCAGCAGGAAACUCUCCCAGCACAAAAUCAUAGAACCACAGAAUCAUUAGGGUUGGAAAAGGUAUCUGAGAUCCCCAAGUCCAACCCCAACCCACCCCACCAUGUCCACUGACCACAUCCUUCAGUGCCACAUCCCCACAGUUCUGGAACACCACCAUGGAAGGGUGACCCCACCACCUCCAUAGGCAGCUGUGCCACUGCAGCACCACUCUUCUGGAGAAUAAUUUUUUUCCUAAUAUCCAACCAGAACCUCCCCAGGCACAACUUAAGGCCAUUACCUCUUGUCCUAUCACUGUUAGCUGGGAGAAGAGGCUGCCCCCCACCUUACUACAACCUCAUUUCUGCAUGGGAGUCUUGGUGUAAGAAGCAUUGCGAGGGAGAACAGUAGGACCCAAACAGUGACAGAUUCAACAUUCAAGACCCCAUGCACCGACAAUCCUAACCAGCAUCAACGAGAGAAGACAACCAGCAUGAAGGACAGUAUGGAGUCCAUGGUGAGCAACCAAAAUCUGUUCCAGAGUGCUGUUGGCUUUGUUUGCAAACUACCUCCAUUACCAUGAGCUGAAAUGCCAACAGAAUGCAACAUGGCUGUUAUAAUAGAAAUAUGCAUCAGUUUCCCACCCUGCUUGACCAGCCUGCUGGGUCACCAUGCCUCUCCUCAUGUUCUCCAGGCCAGAUUCUUCCUCCUCUACUAAGCUUCCCCUUCAUCAUUCUGUCUGUCUUCUAAUCAAUGCAAACCACUCCAACUUCUAAAUGAAACUAAUUUUCAUAUUGUCCAAAUAUACAUACAGUUAAGAAAUUACAGUGACAGUGAUAAAAAAUGUUAAUUUUUCUUUCCAGAUGCUUGUAAAACAGCCUUAACAUAUGUCCGCUGUUUAAUUAACAGAGCGGCAGCAUGGUGGAGAGGAGCCAAACUAAUAAUUUAAAGAAGCAUUCUCCCUCCCUUGAUUUGAAUCCCAAAACACAUCCAUCAUGUGCAUUUCUGAACCUGCAAAAGAUUUAAUUUUCUAAACUUUCAACAAACAUCAUAAAACAAGUCAAAGAGAAACCUGGAGUCGGGCGUGAUCGCCUUUGAGAGAGUUCAGCUUCAGAACUAGUGCAAGAAAUUCAUUUCGUUAAGUGACUAAAAAAACCCCAGCACUUUUUUGUUGUUGUUGUUUUUAAAUUAGCUUUUAUUGUCACCUCCUGCUGGGUGGCCAAGAGAUGCCACUUUGCUGCUCAGGUUCCUGAGCUGCCUCCCUGCUCAGAUUGAUGAGGUUGUAAUUCCUCCCCACAAACAGAGCCCAAGAUCACACACUCCAGCUGCUUUUCCUAUAGUAUCUGUGCACUGCAAAAUUCCUGGACUAUCUGUCGUUACCCUCUAAGUGUACCACUGAAGGUGUGAGCAUGAGACAGAGCCAUGUUAGCAGUGGAAUAGCAAUAGGAUGGUCCAGGAGAUCUAUGACUAUGUCCAGACGAGGUCAUAGAGGCGAGGUGAACUUACAACCUUAAAAACUUACAACUUGCAGAACUGGCAUGGAGAUCAUGUCUCUGAAGCCAAGGUGAGGCUUGCAGCAGAAGGCCUGCUCUGCCUCUGAGGUCCCAUUGCUGCCAUUGAGGUGGUUCAGAUGACCCUGGGUUACCAUGAGGUGCUAAAAGCUCUCCCAGCCACACAUGGUGAUUGUCAGCGAGCAGCUCCUUGUGAGCAGAGGGGAUCAAACAAAAGGUGAUGGCCUUCAGUUGCACCAGGGGAGGUUCAGGUUGGAUGUUAGGAAACAUUUCUUCUCUGAAAGAGUGGUGCUACAGUGGCACAGCCACCCAUGGAGGUGGUGGGGUCACCGUCCCUGGAGGUGUUCCAGACCAGUGGAGAUGUGGCACUGAAGGACGUGGUCAGUGGGCAUGGUGGGAUGGGUUGGGGUUGGACUUGAGGAUCUUAGAGGUCUUUUUCAAUCUUAAUGAUUCUGUAUUUCUAUGAACCCCACCUGGAGAUUGCUCCCACUCUUUGCAAAGCCACUGAGUUCUCCUGAAGGGCCAACACUACUGGGGAAAGGAGGUUGUGUUGUAAUGGCUGAUGGAGAUUAUGCUCCUGGAGAGAAGCACAGUGCAAAAGAUAAAGCAGCGUGCUGUCCACUGUGGAAAUGUGCCCUUUUCUCUGUGAAGAAAAAGAGAUUUUUCAAAGGGGAUGCUAUAUUUUAUUCCUGCAUUAAAUAGAAGACCACAUAAAAAGGUUUCUGUUAAAUAUUAACCAGAAAGUAGAAAGACAGUGAGAGUUCCCUUUCCUUCUCUGCUUCUUGUAGGGACCGCUGACCACCAAGAAAUUAAUCUGCUGAGUGUUAAUUGACACUUUGAUCUCUCAGUUGUUAUUUUGGGUUGCAGGAAAGGCUGAUAAUGAACCCAAAAUUGUUGAAUGAAGACAAUAGCAGUGCCUAUGCCAAAGCCUGAAGUGGGCUUGUUGCUGCCAUGGCCCGGCAUUAUGCUGGAACCACGAUCAGGCAUCAUUUCUCUGAGGCACGCAAAGGUGGACAUCUUGGAUGAAGAUUCUUCUUAAACUAUAAGCUGGAGAUAAACAUUUGGGGGAAAAAUCCUGGGCAAUGAGUCAGUGAACAUAGCGGUGAGUGUCUGCAGAAAGCUGGCCAGCUCCUUCCAUUAAGGAGCCAGUCUUUGGCUAGCUCUCCAAAGGAGGCUCAGUGACUGUGUACAUUAAAAAUGCUAUCACCAUUAUGGUCUGUUCACUAAAGGUACAAGAGCAUGACAAAUAUAUGUAAUUUGCAAAUUGGCUGGUCUUUUGCAAUAAUUUAGAGACACUAGUUAGAGGCAAUAGAAAUCUAACAAUUACUGAUGUUUAAGGUUUGCAUUGUUGCUCUGUGAAUAUUUCAUGCAUAAAUGAACUUCCCCUGGACCAACUGCUGUUUCUGAUGAGGCGCUCUGAGGCUUUAUUGCCAAAUACACAGCAGGGCUCCCCCAAUGAGCCACAUAACAGAUGAUGCAUCGUCUUCACGGCUUAAAUAAUGCAGAGUAUCUGCAUUCUGUAGAGCGGUGGUACCGUUUAUUUACAUAUCAAUGGAGUGGCCAGAGCGAAUAUGAAGAAAUAUGUGAAGGAAAGGACAUAGCACUUUUAAUAUUUCAUAUUCACCCUGCAGGAAGAGCCUCGGCCGGCUGGGUGUGAGUCAGAGUGCCUGGUCUGUGUGUGCAUGUGUCUCCUUAACAAAACCUCUUGCACACCUGAUGAAACGCACGCUUUCUUGCAUGCCUGUGAACUUUUUCAGAGCUAGUGAAAACAAAAGGGGUGUUCUGCCAAUCAGAGGUCGGAUCUCCAAGUGCUGUUUGUUAGGAAGAGAAACAAACCCACCCUCAGGUCUCCUCCUGUUCCGUCUGGGGCUGAUGGGAGAUGUAGUCUCGCUCUGCGCGGCACCGAAGAGGAUUUCUGCUGCAGCUAUUGGGGCUGCAAUGAAGCCCAGAGCCCACGGGAAAAGCAUCACCCAAAGCAAAGAACUAUCGCAACAGCUGGUGAUGCAUACCCCAGUUUGGGUUCAUGAAAGGGGAAAACGAUUGGCAAAAGUAGGACUUUCACAUCGCUGUGCACAUAGGACUGGGAGCUCCGGGUCCUCUCUCCAGAGUUAUGCAGUAUUCGGGCAUGACCCACUCAUGGAAUGCCCCUUCCUGGCAUAUGGAUGCACCUCAGAGCUCUGCCCGGAAGCAAAGGGCACUGCUCCAAGUGCUGGCUGCCAUCACGCCCCCCCCCCCCACCCAGAGCAAAGAUUUCCAGCCUCCACACAUCAGCACUGAGAUCAGAUGAGUAAAACAGCAACCUGCUCCCUUGCUGGAAUUAGUCACUCCAUGGAGAGAUGGACACGAUGGGGUGCAGGUAUAGGUGGUCCACCUGCAGGACUGGGGAUGUGCUCCUGCCAGCAACCCCCACCUCCUGCCCUGCCCAGCAUCUCCCUGCGUUAACCCACACGUGAAGGAGAACUGAUGCGCUCCAGCCCUUUCUUGUACGAUCCCAUUAAAAUUCCAAUGCAAAUGACCAGAUUCAUAAUCCGAGCUUCAUUGGGAAACACAGUUUCCUGCUUUCCCCUGUAAUGAAAUUAUUGGCUGUGCAGAUGCUCCAUUUCUGAGCUAAUUCAAUCUCCGACUGUUUCUUUUCGGAGCGUAUGUGUGAGGGCAGGGCUGUGCGGGGCAGGGCCGGCUGUGUGCACACCCCACAUCUGCACUGCACGCUCCCCAUGCACAGAUAGCCAAUUAUAAGUGUAAAUGCGAUGGGAAUACGAGCGGUGUAUUCGCUAGGCGUGAUUGAAAGUAAACUGGGAAAGCUAAAAGCAGCUUAGUCGCCAGAAUGUAAUACACUGCAGGGGCAAGUUGUGAAAAUGCCUGAUUAUUCUCUUUUGCUCGCUGCAUCCCUGGGGGAUCUCCCUGAACUGCUCCUUUAACUGCUCAACUUGCCUGUUCCACAGUGAUAGUCAGCAGAUGAAGCCCUUCACAUUUAAGUGUAAUAGUGCCAGAGAGACCAACUGCUCCUCAGAGUUACGACCUAUAAAUGUCGCUUCUGUGUCAGAAUGAGGAUGUGGCACUGAAGAUGCUGAAGUCUGCAGAGGGUUUGCUUGGCAAUUCAUGCAGGCCAUUAAGCUCACUCCUCCCCUCGUCCCCCCAGCGUUGUGUACACUGGGAUUUCUUGCUUGCUUUCACAGCUUGCCGAGUGCUUCUUCCAAAGCUGGCAAUAACCAAGCAGUACAUCUCCAGGACAGGAUGCUCUUCUUGUCACUGCCGUGGCAAAUGGGAGCUCUGCGAUGGGGUGCCUGUGUUCACCUGCACCCUGCGGGCGGGGAAGGAGGGUGGCACAGGACGUGGUGUCUUGCCCAGGGAGGUGGCUAUGAGCCAGGUGCAGUGCUGCCAGAUGUUUGUGGCCAAGGGAACAACCACAUCAGGGGCAUCUUCCAUCUCUCUGCCUUGGUCAGGACUUGAUCACUGCUCACAGCAAGAAGAAUGAUAACUGAGGGUGGUGGUGGUGGUACUUCUUGGCUCCUUGUAGCUGGAAACCCAAAUAAUCAAUCACUGCCGUAAGCAACUUCUCAGAAGAAAUGCAGCAUUUACACCACAGCCACACCUAGCCCGGCACCCAGCUUUGCUUAGGCACAAGAUAGAGAUCUCAGAUAUGUAGUUUUUCCAUUUGUGGAUGGCUUUGGGACUCAGUACAGCAAGCACAGCUCCGGGAGGGAUUGCAGCAGUCACCCAGGCUGGCAUCAGCCUCUCCAAACUCCAUCACCCCACGCGUGGGGCUCUGCACGGCUGAGCAAGCAGCUGAUCCUGCAGCCACCUGACUGCAGCCACUGGUUGGAGCGGGGCUGGGAUGGGGGGGGCAGAGCUGAGGAUCCUUUUGAGGCCACCACCUGGGACUGGCGGCACUUCUACUAAUGCACAGUGAGCAGCUAAAUCAUACAUUAUUGAUUUGUCAGACGUAUUUGCAUAUAAAUAAGCAUGAUCAUUCAUACAAACCUUAAUGUUGUUGUUCUCCCUUUAGUGUUGUGAUCACAGAUGAAUGACUCUAGUUAGACACAAUUCAGGAGCGCUUGUACCACCGCAGCAAAGUAAGCUGCUGAUUUAAAACUACAUUUAUUGGAGCAUGUAAGUGUGACAGUCUAUUGGUGAAUUUGGGGAUAAUUAGUCUAAAAGACAAGAUAAAUGAAUCCUGAAAGUGGUAUUGUGAUGAAGAAAUGAUCCCUCCAUGCUAGUAAAGCUUUGAUGCCAGAAAUAUUGUAAAUGAUAAUUAACUGGGAAACACAGAGGAAUUAUAUUUCGGUUGUGUUUUCAAAAAGACUUAGGGUUUUACAGACAAAUUGAUUGGGUUCUCCCCCUCCCCCAGCCCUGUGAUUAUGAAAGAUCGUCUAAUUUACAACUUGAACUGUGAAGCGUAUGACAAAUCACUGGCUUGCUUUUAUGCCUCUUGUUUGUAGAUCCUCUCUGGUAGAUAUCCGCUUAUUGUUUUUAAGCAAACCAAGACGUGUGUUUUUCAAUUAGUCUUUCCCCAGGCCUGAUCUAGACAGAUCUGCAGGCCAGCACAACACGCUGACCCAUGACAAUUAUAUCUGCUGUAUUAAUUCAUUAAGCAUCACAGGAUCAAGCUGUAAGAUCUCGCUCCCUGAUAACAGCAGCAGCAUGAGCCGGGUUAGUCUGCAUCCCUGCCCCGAAAAGAAAAUAAUAUAGAUUGUGCAAUGCAGGGGAAACAUUGCUUGCUAACACUUCAUUUUAAUUGUCCUAAAUUAGAGCUGAAGACUUACAGAACUGUGCGUGACAACCAAUGAAUACCAAAUGAAUUCAUUAGGAUCAGCGCUGUUACAAUGAAUAACUAACAAAUCUAUAACGGCGUCUGUACCCUUUGUGCCUCACUGCCGGCUGCAGGACCCAUCCUGGCAUGGACUGCCUGCAGGGCUCACUUGCACGCUUGGGGUGCAUGGUCACAGUGACACAGCCUGAGCCACCCUGUGCCUCCUCCCGAGGGGUGGACCCAUCUCACUGGUACCAUUGAGCCAACAAGAGCCAACCAGCCAUUGGUGUGCCUGGAGCAGCCCAGGCUGUUGCAGAGGCUGUGAGGGUCCUGGGGAUUUGGGGGAGGUGAUGGGGGAUAAAAAGGAGAAGCAGCUUUGUCUGAAGGAAUCUUUGCCAUGUAAUUUUCCUGUAGGAGACACCAUAACUUGCAUAUCUCCACCAGGCUGAGACAGCAAAUGAAGGGGAGAAAUGAGGGUUUUAGGAUUUAGAUAGGCAGAGGGGGUUUUUUUUUGUGUGUGUUUUUUUUCCAAAGCUGAGGGUCUUUUUUGGGGGGAGGUUGGAGGGGUGAAUACUGAAUGUGGAAAUAGAAAAGACAAUGGCUGCAGCUGUGUGGGGUCAGGGAGCCUUGUGGCACGGGGACAUCCCACGCACCCUCCUGGAGCACCCCGGGGUGCACCGAAGCAGGAUUGGGUUCCUCCUGCCAGGAUAAGGCCCGUGCUGCCAUAAUGGGUAUCUGCUGAUGGGAUGUUCAGAGGGCCGCAUGCAGAGCCGGGAGAACACCCUGCUCAGCACCAACACUGUUAGCUCCUCCAUGAUGCUGAAUUCUACUUCCCCUGCUAAAGUCUCCCAUUGUUCCUAGCGUGUAAAGAAGGAGGGAAUAUUUCUGAUUUCCAAGAAGCCCAGAAAUGUGCACGAGCUCUCAAACUGUGGCAUUUGUUGCUUUCAGAAAGGGAUGCCCCACUCAGUGGGGAGCUCACCACCUCUUAGUGCUGCUGUGUUGGGGGUCGGCAGUGAAGCUUUGCCUUUCUGCCCCAGCCCCAAACAGUGGUCACUGGCCUCAAAAGGAAUUCAUUCUGAAUGCCAGCUCCAGCCCUUAACUUCCACAUAUCUCCAAAAGUACCACCAGUGAAGAAACGCUUUGGAGUGGAGCAGCAUAGACAGCAAGGGGUGAUUGCUUCUCAGCUUCCUUGCAGCAAAGCUGUCCAAGCGAAAGCGUCUUGGUCAACAUUCUCAAGACACGUUGAGCUUUUUGAACAGAACGCUUGGGUUUAGCACAAAAAAAAGAAAAACCAAAACCCAGUCUUGCUCUGUAGGAGUCUAUGGGAAGGCUGAGGAAGGGAUGCCAGUGUGGAGAUGAAGACAGCCAGGAAAGUGGGUCCAGGUGGUAAUUUUCUCUCAAACGUUUUCCUGGGCUGCAUUGCAGGAGCCGGGCCCUGCCCUGCUGAUGUGCUUUUGGGAAAUGUGGUUCAUCCUGGAUAAAGAAAGUAGAAGUGGGAGCCUCUCUGGUGUGCAGCCUCCGCCUCCAUGCAGGCUGUUUGCAAACUCUCCCCAUGCUUAUCAUCAUGUAAUUGAAAUAAUGCGUAUUGACAGAGACUUGAAAACAACUGCUCAAUUUUCCUCAAAAUUCAAUUAAACUUCGUUUAUUCUGGGGAUCGAUCCAAUUAAAAGGGGGGAAAUUUCAGAUGGUCUGAGCCUUACAAUCCAUCUUAACACACUGUGUCUAUCACCGUGAUGUAAUAAUUCCCCCAAUCAAUGCUUUAAAAGCAUUUAGCAGUCUUGAUAAUUAACUUUUGUCAAAAUAGCCUUACAAAGCAAUAAAUGAGAGCAGAUUAAUAUGUAGUCAUAAAGCUAUGAAUGGUUUAACGCUUUGAAAGGGUUGCUUCAUAAAUUUGACUUUUCUUUAUUUAUUUCUCUACCAUAAUCUCUCCCUGCAAUGCUAUCGCUCAUGGUUUUGGUAAAUGAGAAUAACCUGGGCCAUUGGGGUGAGCUCUGAAUGGGGUGAUAUAGAGUCAUAGAGUCAUAGAAUCAUGAAGGUUGGAAAAGACCUCUAAGAUCACCAAGUCCACCCCACCGUGCCCACUGCCCACGUCCCUCAGUGCCACAUCUCCAUGGUUCUUGAGCCCCUCCAGGGAUGGUGACCCCACCACCUCCCUGGGCAGCUGUGCCAGUGGUGCAUCACUGCUCUUUCAGAGAAGGAAUGCUUCCUAAUAUCCAAUCUGUACGUCCCCCGGCACAACUUAAAGCCAUCACCUCUCUUAGAGCUGCAGUAAUACCACUUCCCCCUAUGGAAAUGACCCCAUUAUGCAGCUUCAGAACUACCAGAAAUGUCCACAGGGCCUUUCACAACCGCAGGGUUGGGAAACACACUCUGUUCUGCCUCCACAGAGGGAUUGUGCAAUGGCUCCUAAUUGGGGCACUUCUCUAGGAAGUGCCCAGUUUAAGUGUUUGUCUUCCCCGUGACUGAUUUAAGACAUUAAAUCUCCCAAAUACCACUGCGGUUUCAGGCUGAUCCCAGCAACUCCCACCCCGCUUUGUAACAUCUGUGCAUACCAUACAUUGCUAUUCUUAGAUAGAAUUAGUGCCUGAAUAGUUUUCUUCCUGCACAUAACUGUGUUUAGAAGAUGCAUCCAUCCCCCCAGCCUGCUCUUUUCACUACUUACCUAAAGAGUCAAAACUGGCCUGGACCUGGCUUAGCAAUGGGAACCUUUCCUCUUUCCCGAGCUGUGAAAGACAAGAGCAGGAGAAAAGCUUCUGCCCAAAAAGAGGUCCAGAUCUGCUUGUGCAGAAGUGCACACUUUUGGUUUAAAAUUAACAGGUUCCCUGGCUAAA